UCUGCUGCCCUUGAAUCCCCUCUCUUCUCAAACUCUCUCUGAAACCUAAAGCUAACCCUAGCCACCGCCACCUAAACUAACCCUAAUCCCCUUCGAUUCUCACUCAACUCAUCGGCUCUAACGGUUGUUUGAGAUAUAUACAUGUCUCAUAUGUCUCCUGGUUGCAUGUUCUCGUGAUAUCAUGGAAAAAUGUCAAAGAGAUCUAGUCCAGUCUUUGUUCAACUUCUAUCUAUGGUCUUUUCCCGGCCAUCCAUGGCCGUUCGAGUCAUAUCUAUUGCUUUCUGACUACAUCGGUAACUUUUCGAAGUCUUUCUCAUUUUUCCCGGUUCUCUGAAACAGUAACCUUAAAGGCUUUCCAAUUUCCCUUCAGAUCUGUCACAGAUCUAUGUUUGUUUUGAACCUCGUAAGUGUUUUCCUUAAAGGUUUUUUUUAUUUUUCAAAGCAACUCUCUGGCUUCAACGAUUAGGGUUCUCUCAAC
rnacentral:lncRNA from 1 species